rnacentral:tRNA from 1 species
GUGCCAUUAGCUCAGCUGGAAGAGCACUUGACUCUUAAUCAAGGGGCCCAGGGUUCGAAACCCUGAUGGCGCACCA